CUGCAGAAGAGGCUAGUGGGGAUGGUAGCCUGGAAUUUCAAUAGGACCCAAUGAAAAAAGUAAAUGAGAGUCGUUGGAAAACCUAAAGUCAGUCUAUCCUUUAAAAAUUCUCAACCGAAGCAAAAUACCAUUUGGGACAAAAUACAAUUCCCUUAACAUUUGUUGCUCACUGUUGUAUGUCGGUGACUUCUUGGUUCGUGAUUUCCCAGGUACACCACCCAGGAAUCCUGCCUUAUAAUGGUCAAAGGUUUCUAGCUAGCGGCAAUUCAAGUUACUCCGGAAAACCACACAAGAUAAACUUCUCAAAACUUGGUUCUCCGAAUCUGGCCCCACAACACAUCUACUGAAUGAGAAUUAGCGUCUUCCAAAGUCUUAAAGUAGUCGUUUACGGACUACAGCUUGAGAAGCGCAGAAUUAGAAUUUUAGGAAAUAACGCUCUUGGAUCGCAUACUAACAGAGAAGAGAGGAUUAAAAAAUGAAGUGAUUCAUCCAAUCAGACUUUCCAGUAAUUCACCAAUCACAUCGUUGGACUCUUCAGCCAAUGGUUUUGUUGCGCGGGACUUUUGAAAAUCAACAAGGCCAAUUAGAAUGUUUCUGAGUAUAUAUAAGGGUAGUCGCCACUCUGCCAAAGUGGCUGAGUUUUUCUUUCAGUUAAUCUGAGAUGGCCCGCACCAAGCAGACUGCACGCAAGUCCACCGGUGGCAAAGCACCGCGCAAGCAGCUGGCCACUAAGGCGGCUCGGAAAAGCGCGCCGGCCACCGGCGGCGUGAAGAAGCCUCACCGCUACCGUCCCGGCACCGUGGCUUUGCGCGAGAUUCGCCGCUACCAGAAGUCGACUGAGCUGCUGAUCCGAAAGUUGCCUUUCCAGCGCCUGGUGCGAGAAAUCGCUCAGGACUUCAAGACGGAUCUUCGCUUUCAGAGUUCCGCGGUGAUGGCCCUGCAGGAGGCCUGCGAAGCCUACUUGGUGGGGCUCUUUGAGGACACCAACCUGUGUGCCAUCCAUGCUAAGCGAGUGACUAUCAUGCCCAAGGACAUUCAGCUCGCUCGCCGCAUUCGUGGGGAGAGAGCGUAAAGAUUUCUGGGUAAUCUCUCCAACCCAAAGGCUCUUUUAAGAGCCGCCUACUUUCACCCGAAAAUAGCUGUGAUUGACUGAUCGAAUCUUUGAAACUGAACGUUGGUUGUAGUACUUAUAGUCCUCAUUUGAUUGGCUAAAGUUAAUGAGACGAGGUCUCGCUAUAUUACCCAGACUGGUCUUGAACUCCUGGGUUCAAGUGAUCCUCAUGCCUCAGCAUCCCAAAGUGCUGCAAUUACUGGUGUGAGUCACAGCAUCCAGCCCUCCUUAUGCUUUUCUAAUUGAGGAUCCAAGAGGCAACAUAUCCAAUGAAACUACCUCAUCCUCAUGGUUACAUCCACAUUGAAAGAUUACUGGGCUGUGGACAGAAGUUCUGCUGCUGAUAGAGAUGAAGUGUUUUGACCUGAAGAUUCAUCCAGCAACAAGUGAAUGCAUUUCCUUUUAGAAAUUAAGAAUCUGGACCCUUCUUUGGUGCACAGCAUAUUAGUUAAGAUAAAUACAAGUUUAUUUUCUGUGGAUAUGAGGUUCAAAAAGGGUAUUCUAGAUCAACAGGUCCCUCUUUGUUCCAGCAGUAGUUCUGGAACCCAAAUUCCCUCUGUCUUUGUGGCUUAGCUGUCUUAAAUGUGGCUUCCACAUUUGCCCUGCAAAGGGAAAGAAGAUGGAAAAAUCCUUCGUGGAAAGUUGUUAUGUCCCAGGCCUGGAAAUAUCAAUCUUUACUUGUAUUUAUGUUCCAUUGGCAGGAACUUAGCUAAAAGGCCACACCUAAUUGGAAGAGAAGCUGAAAAAAGAGGUUUCAACAUGGGCCCAAAAGAAGAAAAAGGUUAAAUUAAUGACCAGAAUUAAUAAGAGAAAAAGCAUAUGAAUUUAUUAACGUGUAUACUGCAGAGGGGGUUGGAUAGAGUGAUCACCCAAUAUUGCAACUGGGCAUGGAUGUUUAUCCUACUUCCUAGGGAAAUGGGAGCUUGAGAAGUGUUUUUAGGGGUAUAAUAAAUGACUUUUAGGGGAAUUCAAUGGGCUUGAAGAACAUGCAAGAGCCUGGGACAAUGUCUGUUAGGGCUGCAGAGUAGGCAGCGGUUUGUGACAGAAUCUGUGUAGGCUUGUUGACAGGCUUGUGUUUCUCCCUGUGAUAUUAGUUCAUUUAAUGAAAACUCAGGGUAGAGACAAAACAUAAUUGUAUUCUUUGACAGGUUUGGACUUUAGGCAGAUAAGGAACUUCUGAAAACAACUUCAUCCUGUGCUUUGGGAGAUACAGAGAAUUGAGAGACAGGAGGGGUGGGGAGAAGGUCAGAGAGACCUUGUAGCUUCUUCAGUUCAGGAUGUCAAAGUGCCAUAUUUUGGGAUAUCAGUUUCUGAGCCACAACAGUGUCAUAUAUCUUUGAUUUUAGAUACCAUCUCUUGCUCUUAAUCCAUUUCCAGAAAACCUGCUUAUCUUCUGAAGUUGCUGUGCAGAAGCCCCCAUUUUGUUCUUCAUAGUGGUAGAAACAAAAGUGAAAUAAAAGUCAGAAUUCUUUGUUACACCCAACUCUAAGCUUGAGCAAUUGCCUCAUCAUUACAAAAAUUUAUUGUUUCUAGUUUAUAAAUGAGAAAACAAGCUGAAUGGUUCUGCAUAAUGCCUAAAGUCAUCCAGUUAAUAAAUGAUGUAACAAAUUUCAACCCAGGUAGUAGGUCUUAAAACUCUCCUAAUGUUAAGCAUAUUCCAUUGCUGUGCUAUAGUUUGUGAAAAUAAAUAAAAUUUGAUGUGAUGGUGCAUUCCUGUAGCCCGUCCUACUCUGGAGGCUGAGGUGGGAUAGCCAUUAGAGACAUGAGUUGGAGGCUGCAGUGAGCUAUGAUUGAGCCACUGCACUUCAGGCUGGGUGACAAAAUGAGACCUCAUCUCCUUAAGAAGGAAAAACACACAAAAAAGCCAGCUCUUGGAAUUCCCAAAACACAUUAAGAUUGAGAGAGAUGAGAAAACUUGAGUUCUUUUUUUUCUUGUUCUCUACAGUGUCUAGAA